rnacentral:tRNA from 1 species
GGGUUUUUGCUGAAUGGUAAAGCAUCUGCUUUGCAUUCUGAAAUCCCAGGUUCAAUUGCUGGCAUCUUCA